rnacentral:tRNA from 6 species
CCGCACUUAGCUCAGUUGGUAGAGCAAUCCGCUUAUACCGGAUCGGUCCUUGGUUCGAGUCCAAGAGUGCGGACAA